rnacentral:rRNA from 1 species
UACAGAGGGUGCGAGCGUUAAUCGGAAUUACUGGGCGUAAAGAGCACGUAGGUGGUUUGCUAAGACAGAUGUGAAAUCCCCGGGCUUAACCUGGGAAUUGCAUUUGUGACUGCACGGCUAGAGUGUGUCAGAGGGGGGUAGAAUUCCACGUGUAGCAGUGAAAUGCGUAGAUAUGUGGAGGAAUACCGAUGGCGAAGGCAGCCCCCUGGGAUAACACUGACGCUCAUGCACGAAAGCGUGGGGAGCAAACAGG